rnacentral:ncRNA from 18 species
GUGGCCACAGGUGAUGGACCCCACCUGGGGCGAGGCCCCGAACCGCAUCCGCUAAUGGCUCCUGCGACGUU